AUGAACGCUGGCGGCGUGCCUAAUACAUGCAAGUCGCGCGAACAGACGAGGAGCUUGCCCCUCUGACGUUAGCGGCGGACGGGUGAGUAACACGUGGAUAACCUACCUAUAAGACUGGGAUAACUUCGGGAAACCGGAGCUAAUACCGGAUAAUAUAUUGAACCGCAUGGUUCAAUAGUGAAAGACGGUUUUGCUGUCACUUAUAGAUGGAUCCGCGCCGCAUUAGCUAGUUGGUAAGGUAACGGCUUACCAAGGCAACGAUGCGUAGCCGACCUGAGAGGGUGAUCGGCCACACUGGAACUGAGACACGGUCCAGACUCCUACGGGAGGCAGCAGUAGGGAAUCUUCCGCAAUGGGCGAAAGCUUGACGGAGCAACGCCGCGUGAGUGAUGAAGGUCUUCGGAUCGUAAAACUCUGUUAUUAGGGAAGAACAAAUGUGUAAGUAACUAUGCACGUCUUGACGGUACCUAAUCAGAAAGCCACGGCUAACUACGUG
rnacentral:rRNA from 1 species